AUCACUCAGCCGCCACCGAAUACCCUCCCCAGACGAAAUAUACACGAGCGCCGCCAUAAAAUAGUGCAGUCAAAAAUGGAAUUUGCAAUUGAUAUGCGGUUAUAUUUGAUUCUUUUGUUGGCUCUUGACUAUCUAAUUUCCCCCCGUAAUUUUGACGAUGAAAGCUGUAUGUAAGUCUUUUAUCUAAAGUUCAGCAGCAUUCUAGAUGUUUACGCGCACUGAUACAAGAGAAGAUACUAUGGUUCUGUGAGGAAUAACUCAGUGCAGGGCGGCCAUUGUGAGCUCAACCCAGAGGUGUACAGGAUGCCACAUGGGUCUGGUGAUCUUUGAAGUGUUCAGCUUCAAGUGUGGGAUCAUCUUAUACCUACAGCAGGAUGCUGAGACAAAAGAACCAGCCCCUUGACGGGAACAACAGUAGCUGUUGCAAUGCAAAGAGACAGAGCAGAGUGGCAGAGCAAAACUAUUGGCAAUGGCAGGGCAUCCAGCUUACUCGGGUUCUGUUAGUCUGGUCUUUGAGUAUUACAGCUGUCCAGCCUCUUGGAAACCCAGACUUCGGGGACUGUACCUCUGGCUCAGUGGGGGCUGGUUCAGCUAAGUUAGAAUGGGUUUGCUGGAUGUCAAGGCCACAAAUAAUGUUUCGUUCUUUUUGCUCUUGUUCCUGAUGGUACUUUGCCUCAGCCUCUAUACUACUGUACAGGUUGAGCGAUAGCUGCGGGGACAUGCAUGUUGUAGACGUCAUACUGCUGUACAGGUUGAGUGAUAGCUGCGGGGACAUGCCUGUUGUAGACGUCAUACUGCUGAACAGGUUGAGCGAUAGCUGCGGGGACAUGCCUGUUGUAGACGUCAUACUACUGUACCGUUUGAACAGCUGCACGCCAUCAUGUGUUGUGUACACUCUGUUUGACGGGUGACACUACAUUUCUUGCAUCAGGGCUAUUUUUGUUGGGUGGAGGAGGAGUGUCAGCUUGGGUUUUUCGAGGUCUCUCGCGAACACAGAAGACAUGAAUUCAUCCAUGUGGCCUGACGUCUUUGUAUCUGUCUGGUGUAGCGUCAAAAGCCUUGAAUGCUGUGUACCGAUAUUCAUUAUGGGAAUAUACAACAGUAACAUCAACUGUCAUAUAGUCAGCAACAGCAAGCCACAUGGCGUUCUUCAAAGUGUUCUUGCCUUGCUGAUCUUUGGAUUUACAUUUUCUGAACUUGUUAUGGUUGCUUCUUCUUAGGUUUACCUACUUUCUCGACUGGUAGAAUCUGAUGUCAAAAGUUCCAUUCUUAAUAACGUUGCCUAAGAUUCUCCUGUGUUAAACUUCUCCAACAUGUCUCUGAAUGAUACAAAUCGAUGUGUGGCCCACCUAUGUGUCUUUGUCGCCAAUGUGGCCUUGAGAAAGUUGAAUCGGUCCUUACCCAUUGUUGCACUAAAUGCUGGAUGUCUUGUUUCAUCACUGUAUGCAUCGACAGCUCAAUCCUUUGUCCGCUGUAGUAAAAUGCAUUGCUUAUGAUGUACAGCAGCAUUUGGAUGGUUCUAUAUUAUGUCCUUUCACGUAUGGGUUUCGCAGUUUUAAACUCAUAAAUAAAACACACAUGUAUAUAUAAGUACAUAUAAUAAAGCUUGAGGCUGGUUGUUUCCACUACACCCCUUCACUGUCCUACAGCAACAGUGCAGAGCCAACUGCUUCUAUGUGCUUCUUUAUCAUGGAUCUGUGAGAUGCAUCAUAUCAUCGUAUCUUGUAACGUUCUAUCUUAGAGAUGUGCACACUUACGACACAAGCUAACAGUCACGGACAAUACCUUUUGUCCAUCCACAAUCCUGAAGGGACUGGGGGACGUUAAGGUCAUUUUAGUCGAAAAGAAGUCUGAGUGCUGUGUCACAUGCCGUGCUUGACUGGAGAGAGUCUGUCUUCUCGUCUUUUCCAUAACUGUUUCCUCCAGGCCUUAACCCGUUUCUUGCGGUCUAGCUCAUGUCGUUUGAUCAUUCCUUUCUUUGGUUUACGUAAUUCCACUCCUUCCACUUACUCUGAUUCUUGUGCAGCGCAGGUUUGAGCGUCCGUACCCAAGUUACAGCCAGCUGCACUGCGGACGCCUGCCCCCAUUCCCGCCAAAGAGGGGCAGGGUCAUAUUCUCAAAGCGGUUCGAAAUUGUCAGCUUCCUCUAGAAGGCGUCUGCUGGCUGCUUGUCCUGGAGCAAGACCGCUGCUUGUAGACCCAGCCGUGGCCGACUGCUUCCAUUCCAGAUGUGCGGCGUUAUAUUCUGGAAUUUGUAAGGAAUUUGGGUCAGCUUCCUCUCUAGAAGGCGAACUCUUUUGGCUGGUUGUCCGGAAGUAACAGCACAAGCGGACGACUGCCUCCAUUCAAGAAGAAGAGACGCUGCGUUAUAUGCUGGAAUUUGUUCGAAAUUUGGGGCAGCUUCCUCUAUAAGUUGUCUGUUGGCCGGUUGUUCUGCACCACUGCUCUUCGUUGUCACCCCCAUAUUGGCCCUCUUGGGGGGGCUGUCUUGCCAAGGUCGUCGUCGCUCAUGUUACUUGUAUGGUCGUUCGUAAUAAAGUGAUAGUAGAUAGUAGAUAGUAGAAUUAUUUGAUACAUCCUGUGAGGAAUGAUGACGCAGAGUGACAUAGUUCAUAACUUUAUUUUGAAUAUAAAGAUUUAUUCUUUCUACGCUUUCCCGUGUGAAUGCGUGCACUGCGCCCCCUUCCGACGUAAACGACCUCGACUUCGGACUCCGUGCCGGGGUGGGCCUGCUCGUCCUCCGGCGCAAUGUCAUGGUGGGGCUGUUCGUCAUCUGACCCCGUGUCCGUGCCGGCGUGGGCCUGCGCCGCCACGUGGUACGGUGUCGGAGGUGGAGGGGGCGGCGGGGUACCUCGCGCCUCUGGAGGUGGAGGGUGUGGCGGGGUCUCUGGCGCCUCUGAUGCCCCUUUUGACGAUAAAAGAAGGAAAUAAUAUACUUAAAGUAAAAGAUGUUGCCAAUUUUAACAAUGCACACAGAAGCUAUGUAAAAAGUAGAACUAUCUGAUACGAGAUACACCAAAAAAAAAAACAGAUAAAGAUGAAAACUCAUGGAACAGGGUGUCCAGGGCGCACCACGCCCUAAACCGCACCCACUCCUCGGGGGGUGUUUCUACCACAUGCUGCAUAACGUCCACACGACGUCUGGUGUUUUCUCUAUAUGAAGAUACAUGAUUACAAGUUUAGGAGGUGUUUUUAACAACGGUUGGAAAUGUACAGAGCUAUCUCAGCAUGAUGAUUUAAGAAUCAGAUCUUUAUUUGCUUUCUGCCACCAAUGGGCCACAGCAAUUGACAUAAAACAAAGGCCAAUUGUACAUCAGUUAAAAUGAAAUGAAAAUAUGAUCAAUAUAAGGGCGGAACCAAAACCAUAGUUAUAUUAAACUUCAUGAACAAAAGAGAAAUCAUAAAGCCUAACAAGGACAUGAGCUUAUGUGGAACAAAUAACAAUUUUUCAAAUGAAUAAAUAAAUCAGAAGAAACAAAACCAUGUAAGGGUUAGUCCUCACAAUUAGUUAUAUCAAAUUAAAAUAAUUGCACAUUAACACACAAUAAAUCAUCAAUUAAACAUAAGGAGGACAAAGGUUCAUGAACAAAGAGAAAUCAUAAAACUUAACAAGGACAUGAGCUUAAUGAGUGGAACAAAUAACAAUUUUUCAAAUGAAUAAAUAAAUCAGAAGAAGCAAAAGCCCUGAGAGGGUUAGUCCUCACAAAUAGUUAUAUCAAAUUAAAAUAAUUGCACAUCAACACAAAAUAAAUCAUCAAUCAAACAUAUGGAGGACAAAGGUUAAGCGGACAAGGACGACAGACAGAGUGGAUGAACAUUGAUAUGUUUGUUUCUUAAAUUGAAGGCAUUGUAAAUAAACUUUCCUAACUGUCUUAUUAAUGUUGUAGUAGGGCCUGACAUUAAUUCCUUGAACUUGUGUGGGUCCGGUCGUGUGGCGUAGUAUUUUGGCAGGUGUUGUGUUCUUAAACUAUGUAAAUAUGGGCAUUCCAUUACAAAGUGAUACUCGCUUUCAAUGACACCUUCUAAACAGAGAGGACAUAAUCUAUCUUGUCUGUCCAUAUUUGUAUGUCUACCUGUUUCUAUACUUAGCUCGUGUGAUGCACAUCUCAGCUGUGCUAGUGCUUUUCUGUGGUUAAAAACAUUGAUUACACUCAGAUACUUUUCUGUCACAAAUCUGUCCUUGAUUAUGCAAUAUGUUUCUAGCCUAUUAGUGUUUUCUAUUUCUUGGUUCCAUAUUUGAGUUACCUGUAGUUUAGACCUUUUUUUAAAGACCUCAAAAAAUACUUCUUUAUUACUUACCCCUUGGCCAUACCAUGCUUCUUGCAGACCAUGGGAAAACAGCAGCUGCUUUACCUGGCUUAACCAGGACUUCCUGUCCAGCUCGUAUAGUAAUUUGUAGCAUUUCCUUGAAUACCUGUUCUCAUUCAUCUCGAACACUUUUACCCAAAAUUUAAUUAUUCUAAUUUGUCUCU